GAGUAGCUGGGAUUACAGGCACCCGCCACCAAGCCCGGUUUCAAUACAACAACUGCCCGACCUUCCUUACUGUCAGAGACCAGCAACCACAGAGCGGUUCCGGCUGGUCUGUGGAGGAUGUACAGUGAGGGUCUUCGUGUCCUCUGCUUCACCUUUUGAUCAGAAGGCUGAAUACUCCAUCAGUGGAUCAUGACUCUCUUCCAACCCGGGGAUCUGGUGGUAAGCAAAAUGAUAUUCCAGCAAGUGAUGCCCCUAAUCUCCUAAGGAUAUAAGCUCUCCCAAGACGGUGAGCUCAGCGGAGGCCCCCAGAGAAACAUGCUAUGCGGGAGGAGAGUUUCCCCAUAAGACAGACCGUCCUUCAGCCCCGGCCACCAAAGAGGAGCAACACGGGCCUGCUGUUCUCCAGGACUGAAUGCGGCUGCAUCCUUCCCUUCCUCUGCUUCCUGCUCCCGUACCUACUGAUGGUGCACACGUGGGGCCUGGGGAAGCUGGGUAUCUAACCCACAGUGCAGCUACGGAUGGGAAAUUCUGGGCAGGGACGAGCCUGUCUUCCCCCGGGGAAUUCCCUCCCAUGUUGCACAGGGCAGAGUGGGAGUGGAGGAGGGCAGAGGACAUGUCUCAGGGCCAGUAACCUAGGCUUACAGAAGACGUCAUCACUGUCCUCAUGACGUUCACCCUGUCUCCUGUUUUUUGGGGCCAUGUAUUCCGAAAUGUAUUUUCAACUCAUCACAGGGGCAAAAAGAAGUGAUGAGUCUGUGGCAGCAGAAAUCUGGGAAUCCAAGGGUCAUGCUACAUCUAGUCCUCUUUGGUAAAUUCUGCCUUCCUGUUCACACUUUUCGAGAAACCAUUUUGAAUUCCCAAACAGCAAAGGAAAUGCUGCAGGUUCCUGGAGGGACCUGGUGAUCCGGGGCAGAGCACACAGAGUCGAGAUUGCUGUGGGGUUCACGGGCCUCCCCUCCCGGGACCAGGGGCACCUGGGCAGGGGAGUCUGCACCAUGCGGGAAAGCCCAGUACACGCAGCUGCUCACCACUGCAGACUCCACAGUGCAGGGCUGACAAGGCCUCCCUCUUUAUCUGCCCUGGACCACAAGUGGAAAAGAUGAAGACAAAGCAAAAGCCAAUAUCCCUUAAGAACUUUCCAAUUGUUCUUGUCAUGUGUCGUUUUGUGUUUUUGGGGGUGUGGGGAGGGAUGGUGGUUUGAAACAGCUCCGAAGUGCACUCCAGAGGAAAGCAGGAGGGGUGACAUGUGUGGACACCUGAAAAGAGGAAGGGUCCUCAUGAAGAGGGUCACUUAGUUAAAAAGUUCAAGCACAGAGGAUAUAGAACCAGGUGGAUAUAAUCAGAGAACAAGAUGCAGAUCUAGCGAGAUGGGUCCCACCACCCCUGGAAUAUGUUCCUGGCAGAGGGGCUGGUCCGCUACAGUGGGCUGGGAAUGGUAACAUUGUAUACUUUUGUAAAUUCACAAAACCCUCUGGUCAGCAACAGAGGAAUAAAGGGCAGAGAAUAAACCC
ensembl:lncRNA